CAGUGUGUAUGUUUGGUUGUUCUCUCUAGCUGAGGAUGUGGAGUUGAGGAGGUACUGUGCCUCGCUGUUUGCUGUGUCAUCCUGCGGGGGCAGCGCUGAGCCAGAGCCCUCACCUGGAUCGUGUCUGAGCAUAGAGGAGUUAGAUGAGGAGACAGUUAGAGACAGAGGGUUUGUUACUGAACAGAAGGCAGAAGACAACACAAAGCAAGAGGAAGUCAAAGCAAUUGGAGGUCCUAACCUGUCCCACAAUGCAUUGUCCCAGGGAGCCAUGUUGUCUGGGUCUCCAGUGACAUGGUCACCUCGCCCUCCUUUGGUCUCUAAAGUGGGGACCACUCAGAUACCACAACCUGACCACACUAGUGUACGGUCUCCAAGGUCCACCACUGCGUCACCUCAGCCCAGAGGACCAAAGACCCCUGGGUCGUCAACCAAGACACCAGCCAAGUCAACACGAACGGACUGCUCUUACAACCGCCAUCAGUCAACUCUAGACCCCUCAUGCCCCAGCCCUUCUCCCUCUACACCCAAACCAGAGCUCUUAUCUGCAGGGCCCCCAUUCUCUCUGUCUCCCUCUCCACCCUCUCUCCACUCCCUCAGGCCCCCAUCCUCUCUGUCUCCCUCUCCACCCUCUCUCCACUCCCUCAGGC